rnacentral:rRNA from 1 species
CUCGUAGGCGGCCAACUAAGUCGGACGUGAAAUCCCUGGGCUCAACCCAGGAACUGCGUCCGAUACUGGUGGGCUCGAAUCCGGGAGAGGGAUGUGGAAUUCCAGGUGUAGCGGUGAAAUGCGUAGAUAUCUGGAGGAACACCGGUGGCGAAGGCGACAUCCUGGACCGGUAUUGACGCUGAGGCGCGAAAGCCAGGGGAGCAAACG